AAGAGGCAAACGCACGCAAAACCUGCGAACGAUCUCUGCAGGUUCUCUGCAGGUCCAGAAUCGAAGCUUAGCCUCUGCGUGAUGCAGUGAUUCUUUUGAGACAAGCGAGCCUUUAAACGAGUGCGCAUUUGGCGCAGACGUUUAUCACUUCCUCAACUGCUCAGGCUUCAUUUGCUCUUUCUGGCAGGGGCGCCCGCCGGCCGCCGCUUCCGCACGCGCUGGUGGCGAAGGCAAAGACAGGGAAAAAGUGAGGACGACAAAAGGCAGCCUUUGUGUGCGAUCGAACUCACGAAUCAACGCUUCACUUCUCCGCCUCUGAAUCUCCUUCAGAUCGAUAAAGUCGCCGACAAGAUUUCGCAUCCAGGCCUCGCCGACCUCGCGAAUCCGUCCGAGGCGCCCCAUCCAGCGGUUCACCUUCUCAGGCGUCAUGGAGGCGGGGAGACACUCCAGAGCUUCGUGGAUCUGGGGAAAAGACAAAAGCAGGUCAGACAGAGGCUCUUCAAAAGAGCGCGAAGCGAAAACAGCGAAAAGCGAGAGAGGACUAGCUAACAGACUCGAGACUGUGCGUUGGCCAAAAACGGUGAGUGAAGGCGUGUGGAAGAGUCGGCGCAGCACCUGUUGUGGUGACGCUCAAGCGAAAAACAGCGUGAGAAAGAUACGCGUAGCGAAAACCAAAGAUGCGUUCUUUCCUUGUUUCGCCUACGUUUCUCUAGCCACGAUUCUGCGAGCAGUGCCGGUUUGGAAAGAAUGCGAACAGGAAGAGAGCAGCGCAACUGUCCGAGGCAAAACGAUCAAGAUCUCCACAGUGCGGCAGUGCGGAACGGGAAAACGCGCUUUGCCCCUGUGUCAUUGCAGGACGAGAACGCCAGGCAGCCUGUCUGUUGUUGACGUGCCAAAGUGACAGUCGGUUCCUUCAUUCUAACCACGUUUCCGUCCUUUCGAUUUCCUCCGUCACCGUAACCGACUCACACUGAGCGCGUUGUCGUCCCAUCAAGCGCUGUUUACGUCAAUGCCCACAGUCGAUCUUUCCUGCCUCAUUGUGGAAUGGCGAGGCGGAGGGUGUCCUUCCUGCUUUCGAAAGUUCACUUUUUAUGCUUACCACGUCGUGUCGCUUGACCGAGAGCGACUGUUCCUUUUCUUGCAUCUGCCUUUCCAGUGCUUGCUUCUCUGGAGGUGACGUGAAGUCGUCCCCUUUGCGGAGCGUUAGCACCGCUUCGCGAAUUGCGUUGUGGUGACUGGCGACGAGACGCCGAGAAAGAAAGGAAGAAACACACGUGAGCUAAGCGAAAGUAUCAAGCGGUACGAAGGC
rnacentral:lncRNA from 1 species